GGGUCGGCUUUAGCUCAAGCGGUUACUCCGUCCCACUGGACUUCUAGUUCCUAUAUGGGGGUUCGAGACCCGCGGGUGCUUUCUGACCCUUUU
ensembl:vault_RNA Vault Vault RNA